GAUGAACGCUAGCUACAGGCUUAACACAUGCAAGUCGAGGGGCAGCAUGGUCUUAGCUUGCUAAGGCCGAUGGCGACCGGCGCACGGGUGAGUAACACGUAUCCAACCUGCCGUCUACUCUUGGACAGCCUUCUGAAAGGAAGAUUAAUACAAGAUGGCAUCAUGAGUCCGCAUGUUCACAUGAUUAAAGGUAUUCCGGUAGACGAUGGGGAUGCGUUCCAUUAGAUAGUAGGCGGGGUAACGGCCCACCUAGUCUUCGAUGGAUAGGGGUUCUGAGAGGAAGGUCCCCCACAUUGGAACUGAGACACGGUCCAAACUCCUACGGGAGGCAGCAGUGAGGAAUAGUGGUCAAUGGGCGCAGGCCUGAACCAGCCAAGUAGCGUGAAGGAUGACUGCCCUAUGGGUUGUAAACUUCUUUUAUAAAGGAAUAAAGUCGGGUAUGUAUACCCGUUUGCAUGUACUUUAUGAAUAAGGAUCGGCUAACUCCGUG
rnacentral:rRNA from 1 species